GAGUGGCCGCGGCUCGGUGGGGGGCGGGGAGGAGGAGGAGGAUGCGCUCAGCCUGCUGCUGCAGCCGCUGCCAGGCCUGCCCCAGCUCCGCUCCCUGCGCUGCCCCCUCCCCGAGACUCCACCAAUCCGGAGAGGCGCCUCCGAGCCCUGCCGGCGCUGGAGGUAAAGUUCAAAAGUCUAAAGCCAAUGAACCAUUCUUCAACCCAGACCCUCUCGAAUAAUCAGUGUGAGGAUUUUCAUAAAUAAGAAGAUGUUGUUGCUUGGUGACCAAAAGUGCAUCUCCUAGACCACAGAGGGAUGUGAACAUUCAGAGACUGAUUUGUUCCUGUUGCUCGAGGAGACCAGGCCAGUAAAAUUGAAGAAGCCUACAAUAAACUAUCUAAAUAUCU